UACGUAGGGGGCAAGCGUUAUCCGGAUUUACUGGGUGUAAAGGGAGCGCAGACGGCAGUGCAAGUCUGGAGUGAAAGCCUUCGGCUUAACCGGAGUAGUGCAUUGGAAACUGGGAGACUUGAGUGCAGAAGAGGAGAGUGGAACUCCAUGUGUAGCGGUGAAAUGCGUAGAUAUAUGGAAGAACACCAGUGGCGAAAGCGGCUCUCUGGUCUGUAACUGACGCUGAGGUUCGAAAGCGUGGGUAGCAAACAGG
rnacentral:rRNA from 1 species